AAGGUCGUAACAAGGUUUCCGUAGGUGAACCUGCGGAAGGAUCAUUAAAUGAGAGGACGUUCGCGUUCCGGGUGCUUCGGCCCACUCCUCUUCACCCGCUGUUCGUUACCUUACCACAUUCGUUGCUUUGGCAGGCCUUGGGCUCGUGCUCAUGCCGCCCGGGAGGUGUCCGGGUCGGACCGCUGCGAAGCCCAUUUAACUUCUUGAAUCAACCAUGUUGUCUGAGUGAAAGCAAAAUUCCAGCAAAAG
rnacentral:misc_RNA from 1 species